GUCUAGUAGAUGUACAGUAUGUGAAAUACAUAUAAAAUGUACAAGCCAGGUCUUUAUCGUUCAGUAUGUGAAAUAACACACGGGCAGUCUUAUCAUGGCGGUUCACAGAGCUCUAAAAUUUUUCCCCCACUGGGCCUGGUUUUGCUCGGACGUGUAGGCAUGAAACGCGGACUAUGAAAACUGAAAUCUUCUCGGUCACAAUGAGGACUCUCCCCACUUACCGGCUUUCAGGCGACUCUGGUCAACAAGAGACCUGUUCUUCUGUUGUCAACACUGCAGGGGACUAAUAAAGGUACAUCCCAUUCAGAGGUGUGGAAUGCAGACUGAGGAGAGAAAGCAAGCAGGAGAGAUUCCUCUUCGGUAAAGACUGCACACAAUGUUUCCCUGCUCUUCCUUUAUGAAACAAAACCUGUGUUUGCUCAUUCUUUAUACAAAUGAUUUACUUGUGUCACAGUAACGUAUCGUGGUAGAAAAUUGCUUAAUAAAUGAGUCAUGAAGGAAGAACGGUUGAGAACACCUCUCCCGGGAGUUUGAUUGACAU